AAUAGCUCACUGGUCGAAGGUGUCGCGGCGCCGACAAUCCACCGGGGCUCAAGUCUGGCGCCGAAGCCGCGGAUUCCGUUGUUAGACGGAGUGGUAGGGGAGCGUCCCGUUCAGCAGAGAAGGAGGAGCGGAAGCGAAUCUGGAGCGAGCGGGAGUGCGAAUGUUGGCAUGAGUAGCGAGAGGGAAGUGCGAAUCUUCCCCACCGAAUGCCCCAGGGUUCCGCAGCCAUGCUGAUCAGCUGCGGGUGAGUCGGGCCUAAGCCGAGGCCGAAAGGCGUAGGUGAUGGACAACUGGUUCAGAUUCCAGUACCGCUCGUUGUUGUUUGAGCGAUGGGGGGACGCAGGAGGAUAGGUUCGGGGCCGCGAGGCCUCCAAGCAUGUAGGGAGCGACCAUAGGCAAAUCCGUGGUUGCGGUGACCGAGGUGUGAUGGGAAGGAGCGGGCUACGGCCCAACCCGAACGGAUUGAGUCCAUACUGCCAAGAAAAGCCUCUAGUGAGACAACGAGCGCCCGUACCGCAAACCGACACAGGUGGGCAGGUAGAGCAUACCAAGGUGGACGAGAGAACCUCCGUCAAGGAACUCGGCAAAUUAGCCCCGUAACUU
rnacentral:rRNA from 1 species